rnacentral:lncRNA from 1 species
GUUUAUUAUUGUGGUAAAUACUGUUAUUUGUGACCCUUGUUGUAAAGUGUUACCUAUUUUUGUCAUUUAGUAUAGUAAAGAAGCAAUUUUUUUUUCCAUUUUCCAAGUAAUUUUAUUUCUGCCCCUCACAAUCUGAAUGUCAGAACAAUUCUUAAUGCGAUUUCAAGUUUUCAAUUUUUCAUUUUUUCUAAAAUUGUGGACUGCAGAAAUUAACCCUUUCAGACCCUGCAUUCAUUACAAUGAACUUCAUCAUUUUGUUUAUUUUUUUAAACAUAACACUAUUAACACAAUUAACACAAAUAACACAUUAGAGCUGUUGUCCAUCAGAAUAGACCAUGUACCAGCCAAGAACAAGUUUAUAAACCAAUGAAAUAGUAACUUGGCUCCGCCCACUACACUGGAAAAACACUAGAAAAACAGUAGGUUAGUACCAUAGCCAUAAUGGGAAAGUAACAGCUAAUUUUUGCUAAUUUCAUGUGAUUUAGGGCACUUUUUAAUCAUGUUUUACUGGUUGGGGAUGGUUCAUGAAAUAAUAAAGUUAAUUUAUUUGAAAUAUAAAAUAUUAAUAUGAAAUAUAAAAUAUUACACACAGGUUUCCAAUGUAAUGGAAAAAACAAUUAAAUAUUUUAGUUAAUUGGAUUUAUUUGCUAUAUAGGUUUUAUUGUAGAAUAUUAGAGUCUUCUUUUCUGUGCAUUACAGACAAAAACAGCAUUCUUACAUUUUUCCCCAUCACUGGAGAUAAUUCAUGUCUGUAAGGGUUAUAACUGAAAAAUCUAAUAAAAUCCAGUUUUUUUCUAAAUGGGCAAAAAAUAAAUAAUACGGUUUUAUAACCAAACAAUCUAAUAAAUAUUACACUGACUGACUUGUAUAUUUAAUUGCUCCUGUCUCUGUUUGUUACUAGUCAGAGACGCUCAGUGUGAACGUGGAUCUGAGAGAGGAGGUGCAGUGUGUGUUUUCGCCGUGCACUCAGUACAGUGUGAAGAUGCGCUAUUGCAACAAACACACCCUCGUUCACUGGAGCGCCUGGAGCCCCACUGCUACAAACCGCACUGAGGCCGAGGCACCUGCCUUCAUCCCUCAGCUGUGGAGAACAGUUCAGUCAGCAGGUGUUGCAGGAUUAAGGCUUGUGACAUUGCUCUGGAAGGCGAGGUUGCAGCAGCAGGCAGCGUGUACAGCAGUGUGGUUCAGUGUGCAGUGCAGGGUGGUGGACUCUCAGGCUGAUGUAAGUUCAGGGGACUGUACUGACCUCAGCCUGACCAACAAAUCCUGCCAACUCACUAUCCCUCCAGAACCAUGCACCUGUACACUCACCAUGUCCAACUCUGCAGGCUCCGCCCCUCCAUCACCAUACCCAGCCAAUGGGAAAGUGGUAUGUACUUUAUACACUUUUAUAUAAUAUAGGAUUUUUUUCAUUUUCUGACCAAUCAAUAGUAUGUGAGCAGCAUAAUUAUUGCUGACCCAGGUGAGCAAAUGCACACACAGCUUGUGCAACACCCAUGGAGAUGCCAAUAGAAUUGGACUCUCUAAAGCAGAUUACACCAUUCCAAUUAAUCCCAGGAGUGAUCUACAUGGAUAUUAAACUGUGGAGCAAUGGAACUAUAUUUUUUGGAGAGGUAGUUCUUUAUCCAGUAGAGACAGUUAAUCCAACAAAAGCUGGAUAAACUCUUUUAGUUCAAUUGAUUUUGAGAACACAGUGAAGAAGGUGUGAGCAUUUUCAAAAUUUUAAUUCCAUUUGAAUUCAAGAUGUCUGCAAUCUAACCACCCAAGCUUUAGCAUUAAAGUUGCUUAACAAAAGUGUCCAAAUUCACUCAAAACUAUGCAUAUUUGUUGUCUACAAUGCCAUGAAAAAGUAGCCAAUCUGCCCCUUACAGAUUUCUUCUGUUACAUACAUUUUCAGAUUAUUAACCAUUUUUUAAAUGAUGAAUUUAUUUAUUAAUGGAAAAAAGCUAUUAAAACAAAUCUGGCCCUAUGUGAAAAAGAAAUUGUUUCACCCCAUGAAUAAACUAUGAUUACCUACAUUUUUUUUGGAAAGC